GCUUCCAUUAAUUUAUUAGAAUAAUAUUAAUAACACACAAAAAGAAGGCCAGGCCAAAGAAGAAGCCCGCAUCAGUUCUUAUUUUAGUGGAGAUAUUUUACACACAUAUGAUUAUGGCCUUCUUCAAUUGCAUGGAUGCAUGCGAGACGAGAGAUUGCCAUUACUUCCCUGGCGUAAAUUCUUUAAUUUAGCAGCCUUCUUCUUCUUCUUCUCCCCGGAUGUCGUGAGUACUUGCCUACCCGUUUUGCCCACAUCACCGGUGUUGGCGAAGUCAGUAAAUCCUUUCAGGUUGCCUUUGUUUCCCUUCAUGUUAAUAUUCUCAGCUUCAAUUUCACAGCUGCCCGAGUCGGCCCCAUUAAGAGUGUUGAAGAAGUUGCUAAAUCCCGUCGUGUCGCCGCUGUUGUCGCUGAUAUCAACCCGUUUAAUUUUAAUAAUUUUGGCGCUUGAGUUGGCAUUUCCAGCAUACCCUUGCCUUGAGUUGGUUUCAUCGUGACUCGUCAUUGUCUCACUGACUAGUUUUUAGGUUUGAUCUGCGUUUGCUUUGAUGAUCAACUAAUUGUAUCAUGC
rnacentral:lncRNA from 1 species